ACAGACAACAGCAGCGCUGUAUCUAAGGCCUUACAGAAGUCUGCUUAUGAAAUAUUUCACGGUUAGGUUUUUAUGGUUUGUGCGUGUGGACUAGGCUAUAAUAUAUAUAUAUGUGAGCAGGAUAGGCAUGUAAAUAAAUAACACAAUCUCAAUUUUAUAUUUUCGAAUUGAAAUGACUUACAAUUAAUGUAGCCUAUUUUUUUAAACAAGGUGAUGUUCGAUGUUUUGCAACCUCCCUCUCACAGAGUCAUCAGGAGUCAGUGUUGUGGGCAGGGACCGUUCAGGCUCUAAUGCACAAAGCCAGCACGUUUCUAUUCGUCUGCAGUAGCCGAGUGGUGCUGAACACCACAUCCAGCUUCAUCGGCAGCAGUAACAGAUCGGGGAGGAUGUUUUCUUUUUCUUUUUUCUUUUCUUUUCUUAACAAUUUUUGGAGCACGGACCGACCACUCAGAACGACGAUUUACUGGCGGCAGGUGACUUGGGAAUAAUUAAGGGGCUGGAAUGAACAGAGGUGCUGUCCAAGGUGCUGAAAAGCCACAGACAGACGCGCCGUUGUCCCUUUUCCAGGCGAGACGAGACAUAUGAACUGACGUGAAUGCCGAGCAGCACAGCACCGCACAACAGUUCGCCUUUCUACACAUAACCCCCAUCAAGAGUAAAUGGGACCGCACGUCGACCGAGCGUUAGAAAGAUGGAGAGAUUUGUCCUGCUCGUCAUCAGCUGUCUCUGCGUCUCUCGAGUCACAGCGGAUAGCUUGUCGCCCCCCGUCAAUGUGACCAUCAAAGCAGUAAAAGCAAGCUCUGCUGUGGUGACAUGGGACAUCCCCGAUGGAGACCCCGUCAUUGGCUUUGCCAUCACACAGCAGAAAAAAGAUGUCCGCAUGCUACGAUUCAUCCAGGAAGUCAACACUACCACACGUUCCUGUGCAUUAUGGGACUUGGAGGAGGAGACAGACUAUAUUGUGCAUGUCCAAUCCAUCAGCAUGUCUGGAACGAGUCCAUUGAGCGAACCCCUGCGCUUCCGAACACCAAAGGAGGCAGAGACUCAGGCCUCGAAAAGUAAAGACGAAGUGAUGAUGGAGGAAGUGGGCCAGUCCACCCAGCUGAGGGCAGGGGAGCUCAUCAUCAUUGUGGUGGUACUUAUUAUGUGGGCAGGUGUGAUUGCUCUCUUCUGUCGCCAGUAUGACAUUAUCAAAGACAACGAGCCCAACAACAACAAGGACAAAGCCAAAAACUCCUCUGAGUGCAGCACUCCUGAACAUCCAACAGGAGGGCUGUUGCGCAGUAAGGUAUAACCCACCCCCCUCCAUUCCCCGGGUGCUUCCCCCUCAGCGGCGCCAAGCAGAUCCCCAAGAACAACAACAACAAUAGGAUGCCAUCUGUGAACAUCAUUGAGGUGUAACUAAAGGACAUCUUCUCUUUAUCCAAAAGACUU